AAACUUACCAGGUCAAGACAUGGGCGUGAUUGACAGGCUAAUGACUUUUCUCGAUUCCAUGGAUGGUGGUGCAUGGUCGCACUUAGUUGGUGCAGUGAUUUGUCAGGUUUAUUCCGGUAACGAACGAGACCUCGGCCUUGUAAAUAGCUAUGCUGCUUACAGGGACAUUGGCGGCUACGCCAAGGAAGCUCGAGGCAAUUGCAGAUCUGGAAUGCCCUUAGAUGUCCUGGGUCGCACGCGUGCUACAAUGACGCCACGAACGAGCUUGCGUGAUGAAAGUUACGCAUAAUCAGCAGUCGGCGUCUUAAGGGAUAGUCUCUUGUAACUGUGGGACUCCAACUAGGAAUGUCUCGUAAGUACAAGUCAACAUCUUGUGUUGAUUACGUCCCUGCUCUUUGUACACACCGCCCGUCGCUCCUACCGAUCGAGUGUUUAGGUGAAUUUGAUGGACGUAAGGAAGUCAAAUAAACCUGAGCACUAGAGAAGAGAAGUCGACAUGC
rnacentral:rRNA from 1 species